AGCCCUUUGGUUCCAACACUUUCAGGCGUGAUCAUGCAUUGCCAACGAUAGCCUGACCGCCCUCUCAAGGCGGUAGCACGGGUUCGAAUCCCGUCGGGGCUACCA
rnacentral:tRNA from 1 species